AUUGAACGCUGGCGGCAGGCCUAACACAUGCAAGUCGAGCGGAUGAAGCGAGCUUGCUCCUGGAUUCAGCGGAGGACGGGUGAGUAAUGCCUAGGAAUCUGCCUGGUAGUGGGGGAUAACGUCCGGAAAUGGGCGCUAAUACCGCAUACGUCCUGAGGGAGAAAGUGGGGGAUCUUCGGACUUCACGCUAUCAGAUGAGCCUAGGUCGGAUUAGCUAGUUGGUGGGGUAAAGGCCUACCAAGGCGACGAUCCGUAACUGGUCUGAGAGGAUGAUCAGUCACACUGGAACUGAGACACGGUCCAGACUCCUACAGGGAGCAACAGUGGAGAAUAUUGGACAAUGGGCGAAAGCCUGAUCCAGCCAUGCCGCGUGUAUGAAGAAGGUCUUCGGAUUGUAAAGCACUUUAAGUUGGGGGGAAGGACAGUAAGUUAGUACCUUGCUGUUUUGACGUUACCAACAGAAUAAGCACCGGCUAACUUCGUG
rnacentral:rRNA from 1 species